UAAGUACUCCCUACGUCCGAAAAUACUUGCGCGAGAAAUGCAUAAAAAUGAAUGCAUCUAAAACUAAAAUAUAUAUAAAUACAUUUAUUUUUUGGACAAGUAUUUUUGGACCAAGGGAGUAUAAA
rfam:Hordeum vulgare subsp. vulgare, WGS project CAJW01000000 data, contig: morex_contig_1589089